CGCAACCGGCCUGCCUGACGAACCGCGACAGGGGAGCAAGGAAGGCUGAAUUAAUCCAGUUCCUCGGGGAGGUUUAAACAGGAAGAAAGCCGCCCCACGCACAUCGCUCCAAAGAAGGGGCUUUUAAAACAGGUUGAAGAAACGGGGCGCAGCUUUGCUGCAAUCCCCUUCAACACAACACAAGAGCAUUCUGCAACGAACUAUCCAAUACUUGAGGAAGAAAUGCAUAAAUGAAAGAGAAUCUGACAUUAAGCAAUUCUGCAAGUUCCUCUUGGCUUUGCCUCUCCUCUUCUCAGAAUCCAUCAGGAACAUCUUGCCUGGGCUUCCUAAGUGGUUCUCCAUCCAUGCAGUAAUCAGCCACAUCUCUGUUAGAUUUCUGUAUCAUCCAAUAAAAUUACUUUAUCCUUUCUCUUUGAAAGGUAAGCUGUGCAAGUUAGUUCAAAGUGGAAAUCAAAUAAUUACAUG
rnacentral:lncRNA from 1 species